GACAGAGGGUGCAAACGUUGCUCGGAAUCACUGGGCGUAAAGGGCGUGUAGGCGGGAAGGAAAGUCAGAUGUGAAAUCCCUGGGCUCAACCCAGGAACUGCAUUUGAAACUCCCUUUCUUGAGUGUCGGAGAGGAAAGUGGAAUUCCUGGUGUAGAGGUGAAAUUCGUAGAUAUCAGGAGGAACACCGGUGGCGAAGGCGGGUCUCUGGGACAUUACUGACGCUGGAGGAGCGAAAGCGUGGGGAGCGAACAGG
rnacentral:rRNA from 1 species